rnacentral:lncRNA from 1 species
UGCACGGACUCAUCGGCGGCGACAGUCCAUCCACGCCAUCCGUCCUCAUCGCCUUGCACUUCAGACUCGUCCCCGGCGACUUCACCACCACCGCCGCCGUCGAAUCGCCGUUAUUGAAGGAGGACUCCAUCGCCGCACCGGCCAUGCUCCCGAUCUGGUGAGUCAUGCUCAACGCCAUUUUCGAAAUAGCAAUCGAAUUCAAAUCUUGGAU